rnacentral:misc_RNA from 1 species
GGAAGGAUCAUUAUUGCACUUGAAAAAGUCUCCCAUGUGUGUCGCUGGUGGCGAAUGUAAAUUUUUCCGAUUAACAUUGGUAUUAUAAUAUUAUUAUUCAAUCAUGAGUCCAAGCAAUGGAUAUCUUGGUUCCCACAACGAUGAAGAACGCAGCGAAAUGCGAUACGUAAUGUGAAUUGCAGGGUUAAGUGAAUCAUCAAAUGUUUGAACGCAAGUUGCGCCGCCUCGGCGGCAUGCUUCUUUGAGUGUCGGUUUCUUUGCUGUUGGACGAUUUCUUCAAUGUGAAUUGCCCUGGUCCCAUCUCCAUUCGGUCUCAUGUCGGUUGAAAGAUUUGAUAUGAUGUGCCGAUAAUGUUUGCGCCUAGCGUGAACAUCAACAACAAAGACCUCAAAUGAAGUAAGACGACCCGCUGAAUUUAAGCAUAUAAUUAAGCGGAGGAAAAGAAACUAACGAGGAUUCCCUCAGUAACGGCGAGUGAAGCGGGAAGAGUUCAAACCUGGAAUCGUCUCACGACGAAUUGUGGUGUGUAAACGCGUGUCUCAGUGGCUGCGCCGAUGGAAGUCGAUUGGAAAAUCGCAUCAGAGAGGGUGAAAAUCCCGUUCGACAUUGGAUCCGCAGUCACGUUCGAGCCGUUGUUUUUGAGUCGGGUUGCUUGGGAGUGCAGCCCUAAGUGGGUGGUAAAUUCCAUCUAAAACUAAAUAUGUGUGGGAGACCGAUAGCGAACAAGUACCGUGAGGGAAAGAUGAAAAGAACUUUGAAAAGAGAGUUAAAAGUACUUGAAAUUGUUUGGAUUGAAGGGAUGACGCCCAGUCGGUCAGGAUGGCUUGGUUGCGGGUUUGUUGCGCACGGGGGUAGGUAGCUCCUCACGGAGUGUUUUAGCCCCGGGCGCAAAGCUUGCCGCUGAGCGAGGUCGCGGAUAGAUCCUGACAAAAUGGUCGUCAUUCACCCGUCUUGAAACACGGACCAAGGAGUCUUACAUGUGUGCGAGUGUUAGUGUGACGAAGCAUUAUCGCGUAAUGAAAGUAAAUUUGUUCAAACGAGGGCGACUACGGUACGACCCGGAGCAUACAUGCAGGGACCCGAAAGAUGGUGAACUAUGCCUGGGCAGGAUGAAGCCAGGGGAAACUCUGGUGGAGGUCCGAAGCGAUACUGACGUGCAAAUCGUUCGUGUGAGCUGGGUAUAGGGGCGAAAGACUAAUCGAACCGUCUGGUAGCUGGUUCCCUC